GCCACACACCCCGAGCCCUGCCUGCGGGCCCAGCCCCCCCAUUUCCGGAGCCUGCGCCCCGGACCCAGCGGGGGCUGAUCCCUGGGAAAGGCCUGGCUUCCUCUUCCUUCCUGUCCCUGCCCCACCUCCGCCGGGCUCCACAGCCGCCGGGAGCCCAGGGCCGAGACGGGAGGAGGGCACCCACCUGGUCGGUGUCACAUGCUGCUUCGGCCCCAGCGUCCCCUCCAGGUCCCGGCGCCGGCCGCAGUCCCCAGAGCCGUCCCCAGCGCAGGCCCGGCCGCCCCACCCGCGGCCCGCCCCUGGCCGCCCGACGGGAGGGAGGGAUCGGGUUCUCCUAGGAAGUUUCAGUAUGCAUUCUUAGAAACCAGAUAUACAAAGACAAGAUCUCUGCUUUCAAGAAGCUCUCAAUCUGAUUGAGGAGAGAAACAGGUAGCAAAUAAUGACAGCAGAGCAUGGUCAUUCAACAUUUAUUCAACCAAAAAUACUAAGUCAGCUCUAUACAAACUAAUGGAAGGAUACAGCUAUGCAAAUACAGAAGAACACUAAACUGUUACAUGACAGAUGUAUGAGAACUGGGAAGAAAGGACCCUGAAAAGUUAGCUUGUUCCAAGUGACCCUCCAAGGGGAAGAGUGCUGGAUUCAGAGCCCACCUCAGGGGAAGACAGGACGCUCUCCAAGAUGGUUUCCCUAGAAGCUACUACCUCUCCCUGGAGGGUGGAGAUAUUUGCUGGUCAAAGCAAGAAGGCCCUCUGCAGAUGCUGACACCUUGAUAUUGGACUUCCCAGAUUCCAGAACUCUGAGAAAUAAAUUUCUAUUUUAAAU
rnacentral:antisense_RNA from 1 species